rnacentral:rRNA from 1 species
AGCAGUCGCCGCGGUAAUACGAAGGGGGCUAGCGUUGUUCGGAUUUACUGGGCGUAAAGCGCACGUAGGCGGAUCGAUCAGUCAGGGGUGAAAUCCCAGAGCUCAACUCUGGAACUGCCUUUGAUACGGUCGAUCUGGAGUAUGGAAGAGGUGAGUGGAAUUCCGAGUGUAGAGGUGAAAUUCGUAGAUAUUCGGAGGAACACCAGUGGCGAAGGCGGCUCACUGGUCCAUUACUGACGCUGAGGUGCGAAAGCGUGGGGAGCAAACAGGAUUAGAUACCCCAUAGUCCCUGUCUCUUAUACA